CAGCUGGUAGGAUUCCUGGCAGAGUGAUUUGGAUAUGUAUGGUACAAAAUCACAUUGCCAGGGAUUUCCAAUCAGUC
rnacentral:pre_miRNA from 1 species